rnacentral:rRNA from 1 species
UACGUAGGGGGCAAGCGUUGUCCGGAAUCAUUGGGCGUAAAGCGCGCGUAGGCGGCCCGGUAAGUCCGCUGUAAAAGUCCAGGGCUCAACCCUGGAAAGCCGGUGGAUACUGUCGGGCUAGAGUCCGGAAGAGGCGAGUGGAAUUCCUGGUGUAGCGGUGGAAUGCGCAGAUAUCAGGAGGAACACCGAUGGCGAAGGCAGCUCGCUGGGACGGUACUGACGCUGAGGCGCGAAAGACGUGGGUAGCAAACAGG